rnacentral:lncRNA from 1 species
GUGCUUGGACUACAGGUGUGAGCCACCAUACCUGGCCUUCUUUCUUCUUUUCUUUUUAACCCCAAGGCAGGGAGAAGUGGUCAUUUCCGAUUAUUUUAAAUCUGGAACCAGUAGCAAUCCCCAGGUGUUUUAGGAAGGGGGUCUUUGUGGUUGCUGUCCUGCCUAAUUUUGUCUUUAGUGCACUGUUGGUUACAGACACAAUUAUGUGUGUGGCACAGGGAGGAGAGGGCCCAAGAUGACUGCGUGGAGAGUGGGCCUGAGCAAGCGCCUGCUCAAAGUCCAGGUCAGGAGGCUGGGUGAGGCGGGAUGAACUGAACAGUCAGUUUGUUGCCCUGUGAAGGUGCAGUCCAGGGCCUUCCUAGCUCUGGGCCAAUGUGGUCCAUAUCGCCAAACCUUUCCUGGGUGGUCUGAAGAUUUUCUUAAGGGGAACUAACUGCCCAGUCCAGGCACCUCUGGCCAUUUGGGGAAUGAGGCAGGCAAGUCUCGGCUUGGCCUCAGUUCCCAGGCCCCUAGGAAUUGGCACUGGGCUUCAGCUCGCUACUUAGCAGAUCCAGUAGGGCCUAGACCCAGCUGGACCUGGGAGCCUCUGGAGCUGCCAAAUUGUACAUGAAAUUCCUGUGUGCUUGGCCGGACAAGAGGUUCAUGAUCGAAGGGUUACUGCCUGCACCUGCCUCUGUCCCUCCCCCAGAUUUUUCCUGUCUGCAUUUGGCUUUUUAAGGUUCUCCUAUGCAGAAUUGGCUGUGGAAGAGAAAUAGCAUGGGAGAGAUUGCAAGGUGCUUUUUAUAUACAUUCUCACAGAAUUCUCUAAACAACUAACUCUGCAAUAAAGGGAUUGCUCAUCUUAUUUUACAGAAAAGUUGAGAGAGAUUUGGUUUGACGUGUCCCAAAUCACGCAGCUAGUAGGCGGAACGGCCUGGAUGCAAAACAGGUGGUCUGACUCCAGAUAAGAAUAAUUGCUAACAUGAUUAUUUAGUAAGAGUCAGAAAUCAUGCCAAGAACAUUCCAUGGAUACUUACCUAAACAUCAUCACAGUCCUACAAGCCAAUAUUCCUGGGGCAUGUACCAUGAACCAGGCUCUGUGCCAGCUCCCGCAGAUGCAAGAUGAAGACCUUGCCCUUGCCCUUGAGUGGAUGGAGAGGACACAGAUGGACAAGCACCUAGAUGAGAUGAGAGGUGUAGGGGUUGGGCUUAGCUCUGCCUGUGGGAACCUGGGCAGGCUUCAUCAGGAGGUGGCGCUCAAGUCCAACUGAAAAUAUGGAUCUCCCAGGAGUGUCGAAGAUGACUCUGUGCCUGCACUCUAUGAACCUUCUGAAAUGAAGGGGCCUGGAGAUGCCAGCACCAUUGAGUUCCAGGGCACAGAUAUUCAUUGGAUAAUUACUACAUUACAUCCAUCAUCUGAUUUACUUUCCAUGUGUAACUGGAUGAGGUGAGUAUUUUCAUCCUCAUUUCAGAUACGAAAAAUCAGAGGCUCGAAAAGUUGAAUUGAUUUGCCCAAGGCCACAUAGGAAAGGGAAGAGAAAGGAUUUGAACCCAGGCAUUGGACUGAAACCCAAAAUGUUUUCAUGCCACCCUUCUUGCUCCUUUUCUGAAACAAGGAGCUCCAGCAGUGCAGGACCAGCCCAGAUUAGGGGGCUGCAAAAGGGAGAAGGCCAAUAUGAUGAUUGAAAUAGGAGAAAUAGGCCGGGCGUGGUGGUUCACUUGGAAGACUUACAGGAUGACGACAGUAAUAGAAGCCAAGACCUUUCCGUUUCUCCUCCUGGAAAUUACACAAAAGCAACAAAGCAAUACAUACUCCUCUCCUCAUCUCUAACCCUUCCCACGAUUCACAUUUUCAAGAAUCUAAGAGGCAGAAAUAAUCCACAAAUUCUACAAUACCUGUAAGGGCUGCCCAAAAUAUCCAAGGUGAGACCUUACAUGGGAGGAAGCACUGGUCUCAAGCUUGAGUGUCCCUUAUCCAAAACGCUUGAGACCAGAAGUGUUUGGGAUGUCUUUGGAUUUGGAGAUAUUUGCAUAUACAUCAUGUAAUAGCUUUAAAAACGGACCCCGGUCUAAACACAGAAUUUAUGUUUCACAUCAUCUUAUACACCUAGCCUGAAGGUCAUUUUGUACAAUAUUUUAAAUAAUUUUGUGCGUGAAACAAAGUUUGUGUAUGUUGAACCAUCAGAAAGCAAAAGUGUCCCUAGCCCUGCCACCCAUGUAGAUGAUCCGUGGUUGUUUGGCAUCACCAUCAUUCCUAACUUUUGAGUUUAUAUGUUAUGGAUAAAUGAUUCUUUUCUUUUCUUUUCUUUUUUCUUUCUUUCUUUUUUU